rnacentral:lncRNA from 1 species
GUUCGUUUAUCUCAUGAGCAAUAAACUGAGGUGCAUGAGCUUUUCUUUUUCUUAAAACCAAAAACAAUUAAGUUAUAGCUAGUUUUUCAUGUUUUGUUAAUUUUAGUUUUAUGGGUAUGGUUUUUGUUUUUCAAUGUUAGGUUUUAGAGAUGGUUCUGAUGUUUUGGGUGGAUCCAAUUAUGUGUAUAUGGUUUUGUUCAUGAAGAUUUCUUUUAUUUUCUUUUUUGUAUAAAAAGCAAAUCUUGAUUCUCCCUUUUCUCCUUUCGGUAUACAAUUUCUUGAAUCUUUGUGGUGUAGGAGGAUAAUAGUGUUCCUAAUUUGGAUUCUUUUUUUAAUGCUAGUAUAUGAUAACAGAUUCCUCUUUGUGGAUUAGCAUUUUUUAUGCAAAAAAGAAAAAGAAAAAAAAACAAGUGGAAUCUAGUCUGAAUCUGCUCCAAUUCUUCUAGUUUCUCUGCCAAGAUUCUGGCUUUCUUGGGAUCACCAAAUUAAGAGAAGUGGACCCUGUUAAUCUAAGUUCUUGGAGUUUUGUUAUGCCUGUUUUUCCAAAUUAGAGGCAUAAAUAUAUUAAUGCAAUACCCAAAUUAGGAUCACAGAAUUGAAUCAAAAUGCGACUCUUACUAGUCGCGCACGGACGGCUGACAAUUAGCAUCACAAAAUUGAAUGCCUACUAGAUGGAUGGUUGAUUGAUCAGGCAAGUUUGAUUGUGGUCAAGUUAGGCUAAAUUUGAUUAUCAUUAUUAUUAUUAUUAUUAUUAUUGUUAUCAAAAUUAAUGUAAAUUAGAACUGAUCUCAGGAUGGUUUAGUUUAGUAGUACACUUUGAUUAAAAAAUAAUUAAUAGAUUUAAUUAUAGAAAAAACUAGCUAAAUUAAAUUAAUACUGUAAAAUAAUGUCAUAUUGAAUAUAUAAAACUGACUGAUAAUUAGAAAAAAAUUAAUUUGGAAAAAACUUUAAGAAAUCUUGAAUUUAAUUAAAUUAAAUUUACUAAAUGAAUGAAAGCAAUUGGCUCAAAAUAUCAUUUUCGGGUCAGCAUAUACAAAUUCUAACUCUGUUGAAUUUAUGAGCAAGGAUGUGAACUCCUUCAUUUGAUUAAGUCCAACUUGAAUUAACAUGUUUGACUGUCCCUUACACAUCAGUUCCUUUAUAGUUUAACCCUACCCUCUCUGCUCAAGAGGGACCCCUUUUUUCCUCUUAAGGUUUCAGCAUUCAUUGCACCCAAUUUAGGGUAUUUGGUUUUUUUUGGUCCAAAAGCACACCGACCACAGCCACCUAAAACUAGGGUCACCAUUUGGCUAGUUUGAUUUAAAACCAAACCCAACUAGAAAUAAUAAAAAAAUGUCAUGAAUAUAAUCAACCAAAUCUAAUAAGAGGCUAAUCCGAAAAAUCAAACUUGGGGUUGUUGAAACCUGCAGUUGCAGCCAAUAUUGUACUUUGAUGGUGCAAUCCGUGAAUUAUCUUAUCUUUUUUGCUUAUUUGGGGAUUGACUGUCUUUAGUACACAUUCAUUAUUGGACACGUUCCCUCUUUGUUUCCAUGCAUCCCCACCCCACCACAAAAAUUAUUGAUAAUAUUGCACAUUAUUUAUGAUUUUUCCAUGAACCAUGGAUUAGUGACUUACUAAUGGACCUGACAGUUUGAAAAUUGUGCAAGUAGUCAUCGGUUAGUGACUCACCGACGGACCUAACAGUUUGACAGAACCUGGUUUUAAUUUCUAAAGCCACAUCAGACUAGAAAAGCCAAUUUUCAGAGCUACGAUCAGUUCUAUCAUCUGACAUAAAAUAAUGAGUCUCUUGUUUAUUUAUUCUAGUUGUUUGUUUCAAUGACGUAAGUCCCUGGCAUUCCUGGCACUGAAAGUGGUGCAAUUUUGGGCAUUUCAUGACCUGCGAAGCUGCUGAUAAAGUGCCAAGUCACAGCCCAUACACAUUUUUUUAAUUAACUGCGUAUGUCACUUAAUUUUGUCAGCUUGUUAAAUAUGUUAUAUUAUUUUGUUGUUUAUUACUUUAUAGGAUAUUAUGCAACUACAACUGGGUUUUGCUAUUCUUUUUAUUUUCAUUACACAUCUAAAUUUGUCAGUUUAUCGUAUGUUAUUAUUUUGUUAUUUCAUAGUUUAUGUUUUUGUGAUGCAACUGCCACUGUGUUGGCUAAUUUGAUUAUAUCUGACAUACUGCAUUGGUGUUUGACCUUGACCAAUCCAAAUGGAAAUGAUUUACUUUGUAUAGUUUUCAGUCACUUGUGUAGGUUCAAAAUGACAACUGUAGUAUUUCUUUUUUGAACCAUUAAAAAAUUACAUUAACAAUCAGCCUUAAGAAGGGCAAAAAGAGUACAAGGCAGGGUAGUGA